rnacentral:rRNA from 1 species
GAUGAACGCUGGCGGCGUGCCUAAUACAUGCAAGUCGAGCGAACGGACGAGAAGCUUGCUUUUCUGAUGUUAGCGGCGGACGGGUGAGUAACACGUGGAUAACCUACCUACAAGACUGGGAUAACUUCGGGAAACCGGAGCUAAUACCGGAUAAUAUUUUGAACCGCAUGGUUCAAAAGUGAAAGACGGUCUUGCUGUCACUUAUAGAUGGAUCCGCGCUGCAUUAGCUAGUUGGUAAGGUAACGGCUUACCAAGGCAACGAUGCAUAGCCGACCUGAGAGGGUGAUCGGCCACACUGGAACUGAGACACGGUCCAGACUCCUACGGGAGGCAGCAGUAGGGAAUCUUCCGCAAUGGGCGAAAGCCUGACGGAGCAACGCCGCGUGAGUGAUGAAGGUCUUCGGAUCGUAAAACUCUGUUAUUAGGGAAGAACAUAUGUGUAAGUAACUGUGCACAUCUUGACGGUACCUAAUCAGAAAGCCACGGCUAACUACGUGCCAGCAGCCGCGGUAAUACGUAGGUGGCAAGCGUUAUCCGGAAUUAUUGGGCGUAAAGCGCGCGUAGGCGGUUUUUUAAGUCUGAUGUGAAAGCCCACGGCUCAACCGUGGAGGGUCAUUGGAAACUGGAAAACUUGAGUGCAGAAGAGGAAAGUGGAAUUCCAUGUGUAGCGGUGAAAUGCGCAGAGAUGUGGAGGAACACCAGUGGCGAAGGCGACUUUCUGGUCUGUAACUGACGCUGAUGUGCGAAAGCGUGGGGACCAAACAGGAUUAGAUACCCUGGUAGUCCACGCCGUAAACGAUGAGUGCUAAGUGUUAGGGGGUUUCCGCCCCUUAGUGCUGCAGCUAACGCAUUAAGCACUCCGCCUGGGGAGUACGACCGCAAGGUUGAAACUCAAAGGAAUUGACGGGGGCCCGCACAAGCGGUGGAGCAUGUGGUUUAAUUCGAAGCAACGCGAAGAACCUUACCAAAUCUUGACAUCCUUUGACAACUCUAGAGACAGAGCCUUCCCCUUCGGGGGACAAAGUGACAGGUGGUGCAUGGUUGUCGUCAGCUCGUGUCGUGAGAUGUUGGGUUAAGUCCCGCAACGAGCGCAACCCUUAAGCUUAGUUGCCAUCAUUAAGUUGGGCACUCUAAGUUGACUGCCGGUGACAAACCGGAGGAAGGUGGGGAUGACGUCAAAUCAUCAUGCCCCUUAUGAUUUGGGCUACACACGUGCUACAAUGGACAAUACAAAGGGCAGCGAAACCGCGAGGUCAAGCAAAUCCCAUAAAGUUGUUCUCAGUUCGGAUUGUAGUCUGCAACUCGACUACAUGAAGCUGGAAUCGCUAGUAAUCGUAGAUCAGCAUGCUACGGUGAAUACGUUCCCGGGUCU